CGGCAAGGCUUAAACAUGCAAGUCGAGCGGUAACAUUUCUAGCUUGCUAGAAGACGACGAGCGGCGGACGGGUGAGUAACGCGUAGGAAUCUGCCUAGUAGUGGGGGACAACAUGUGGAAACGCAUGCUAAUACCGCAUACGCCCUACGGGGGAAAGGAGGGGAUCUUCGGACCUUUCGCUAUUAGAUGAGCCUGCGUGAGAUUAGCUAGUUGGUGGGGUAAAGGCCUACCAAGGCGACGAUCUCUAGCUGGUCUGAGAGGAUGAUCAGCCAC
rnacentral:rRNA from 1 species